CAGACCAGUGGUGUGGUUCUACUACUGGGCAACGGACCUGGCCUGCUGAAGUGGCCAAAAGAAAGACCAACCAAAUCCUUCCGAGAUUUCACGGCGACCACUACUGCAGGGAGAUCGCUUGGUGGGUUCGGUGAUAAUGCAUCUGCAGAACUGACCCUUCAGAGCAGUGUGGGAAACUGUCAUACAAGUGUAAAGAGGACCACCCACCUACCACUGGGCCCUUUGAGUAUGGUCAACCCCAUGAGGUGUAAAUGUAAGACCACAGGAGAAAAUAGGCUUCUAUGUCAGAUUACAUAUUCCUUCUCAGCUCCAGCAGGAAAAAAAUCUCAGCAAUUUUGCCCCAACACCAGAGAACUGGCAGGGAGAGAGACUUCCACAGCACCAGUAGAAGGAGCCAAGGAAUUAGGAUAAGAGCAUGG
rnacentral:lncRNA from 1 species